GCUCCUUUCUUCUCCAACAGCAGCAACCUUGUUAUUGUUUUUUCUUCUUCUUUUUUUUUGUAGCAACACAACAACAACAAUAGCCCUAAUUGCGAUCUCUCUUUCUUCCUCUCCAUAUUAGCAGUGUCUGCCCUCUCCCAGCGGCCGAUACAAUUAAGUUUAAGUGGAGCUUGUUAACUUAUGAGGUUUGAAGCUUUUGCUGUAAAUGGAGAUACCGGUAAAAGAAAAGUGGAUUAGCGGAGGCUGGAGGGCGAUGCUACGAUGAUGUG